rnacentral:lncRNA from 1 species
GGGGUGAGGUGGCUCUAGGGAAUUCAUUACUAGUGUUUUAAGAAAUACGCUGUUAGUAGUUCCUGAUGUAGUCCAUUCCUCUCACUUGAGAACUGUGCUGAUAAUUAUCUGUUUGCUCCUUAGAUCAUCUCUGUCCUUCUCUUUGCUGCAAGAUGCCUACUAUAUUCAGUGCCUCUCUCUGACCAGCUGGGUUCUUAGACUUGAUCAGAGGGAGCCCUCAGCAGAAGACUGGCGGGUAGGAAGAUGGUGCAGUCAGGACGCAUGGUCUUCCAACUCCCUCUGUGUCAUCUUCGCAGGAUGGCUGUGUCCAUAUAGCAGAAGUCACUGCUCCUCUCAAGGGUCUCCAAGGCUGAGAAAACGACAGGACCAAGAAGAAAUCUGAUAAUCCUUCAGGAGACGAAAUUGCAACGGGAGGGGAAGGUAUGAAGCCAUCCCACUGCUGCAUAGUGGGCUCCAGAUACUUCCUUUACAUUUAGGGAGACUUCUGGGAAGAUGGCAGAACGGUAAGCAGCAGUG